GGUUCCCACACUUAAGAGUUAAUCGUUUUACAAACACACACUAAUCCUCUGCUAACACACAUAUAUCUUAUAAGCUAACUAAAAGUUGAAGCAAGGUGUUACUACUAGUGUUUGACUACCAUAAAUUAGCAUGACCUUUAUUACUGAACACACUUGCUUAUCACCUGGCAUUAAUAGCACCAGCUGGUUAACAUAUAGAACAGAGCAGCUCAUGUCACAGUUUACGCAAAGCUUUAU